AAAAUUAGAGAGAACAACAUGGCGGCUGAUGCGAAAAAUGACGUUGGAAGCAAGAUUGGCUGUAGUUUGUGUCCAGAACCUGUACGUCAUUGGUACUUUUAGCCUCAUAUGGGUUUAUAAACUUGUGAUCCCUUACUGAGUGGUUCGAAAAUUUGAGGGAAAUGGCUGAAGUUGGUUUAAAACGCUGGGAAUGGUGAAUGUUUAUGCCCCCACGUGUCACUUGGAAUACAUGUUACUAGUGGUUACAGAAAAGCGAUCUUCAACUUGCAAGAGUUCAGCUGUAGGUAGACAGACUUUAUGAUGGAAUUACUGAUCAGCUGACUGACUGUAAACAGGGGAUUGUUUGCAGAGACCUCGAUUGUACCUGGACUGUUCGGGAUAUGAACAUGAACUGGAAGAUAUAUCGCAACGAUAAGUUCAAAAGAAGGUUAAGAUAACUCAGAGUUUUAAAACAAUUUUAAAAAAAAGAGGCUUAAAUGGGAAGAAAACAAGGAAUGCACAAGCGGUGGACGAAAGGUUGCGAGAAGGAACAAAGCGGAAUGAAAAGGCCCAAUACAGAAUCGGAGUGGAAAGGAAGGAGAAAUGUCAAGAAUAUCUCACUCUCUCUUGCAAGACUUGUACAUGUACUUUUAUAGCUUUACCGUUGUUUUUAUUAAGCUCGUACACUUGUACAGUGUAGUGCAACUGGAGAGAAAGCGCAAAUUGGGAGCCAGAUAACGGUACAGACGGACAUCCUUGUUGUAUUUGAAGAAUAAUUUUUCUGAGUCUUUUGGCGGGAAAUGUGGGUAUGGCCCACUUGAUGUUCUCUCUACCUUACUUUAAGAUGUCAUGAAAAAUGACCAUCUCCAGCAAGAGCCAUUGAAAAAUGUCAACCUUGGAAUGAACGAAAAACUGGGGGUCGAUCCGCCACCGUCCCCCACCACACCCACCUCUUAUAGACAGUUGUUUUGUAAUUUGAGACAAGUUCAUCCUUAUGGUGAAACUACAUCUUUAUUACGAACACAUGCGUAUUGUAAGACACAUGCUUAUUACGAUAUGUCGUACCACAAUGUUAAACUUGUC